GAAAGCUCUAGAUGACUGUGCUGUCCUCCAUUUGAUCCUCGAGCUGCCAGGAGCAGAACACAGAGCCAGAGCCCCGGAGCCUCUCCCUGGGCGGCCAUGUGGGCUUCGACAGUCUCCCUGACCAACUGGUCAGCAAGUCGGUCACUCAGGGCUUCAGCUUCAACAUCCUCUGUGUGGGGGAGACUGGCAUCGGCAAGUCCACACUGAUGAACACACUCUUCAACACGACCUUCGAGACAGAGGAAGCCAGUCACCAUGAGGCGUGUGUGCGCCUGCGGCCCCAGACCUACGACCUCCAAGAGAGCAACGUGCAGCUCAAGCUGACCAUUGUGGACGCCGUGGGCUUUGGGGACCAGAUCAAUAAGGAUGAGAGUUACAGGCCUAUCGUCGACUACAUCGAUGCGCAGUUUGAAAAUUACCUGCAGGAGGAGCUGAAGAUCCGCCGCUCACUCUUCGACUACCAUGACACGAGGAUCCACGUCUGCCUCUACUUCAUCACGCCCACAGGGCACUCCCUGAAGUCCCUGGAUCUGGUGACCAUGAAGAAACUGGACAGCAAGGUGAACAUUAUUCCCAUCAUCGCCAAGGCUGAUACCAUCUCCAAGAGCGAGCUCCACAAGUUCAAGAUCAAGAUCAUGGGUGAGCUGGUCAGCAACGGGGUCCAGAUCUACCAGUUUCCCACAGACGACGAGGCUGUUGCGGAGAUUAACGCGGUCAUGAAUGCACACCUGCCCUUUGCCGUGGUGGGCAGCACCGAGGAGGUGAAGGUGGGGAACAAGCUGGUCCGAGCGCGGCAGUACCCGUGGGGAGUGGUGCAGGUGGAGAACGAGAAUCACUGUGACUUCGUGAAACUCCGAGAGAUGCUGAUCCGGGUGAACAUGGAGGACCUCCGAGAACAGACCCAUAGUCGGCACUAUGAGCUUUACCGGCGGUGCAAGCUGGAGGAGAUGGGCUUCCAGGACAGUGACGGUGACAGCCAGCCCUUCAGCCUACAGGAGACCUACGAGGCCAAGAGGAAGGAGUUCCUGAGCGAGCUGCAGAGGAAGGAGGAGGAGAUGAGGCAGAUGUUCGUCAACAAAGUGAAGGAGACGGAGCUGGAGUUGAAGGAGAAGGAAAGGGAGCUCCACGAGAAGUUCGAGCACCUGAAGCGCGUCCACCAGGAGGAGAAGCGCAAGGUGGAGGAGAAGCGCCGGGAGCUGGAUGAGGAGACCAGCGCCUUCAACCGCAGGAAGGCCGCCGUGGAGGCCCUGCAGUCUCAGGCCUUGCACGCCACCUCACAGCAGCCCCUGCGGAAGGACAAGGACAAGAAGAAAGCCAGUGGCUGGUCUUCCAUUUACAGUGUCACUAUUCCUUGACGGAGCAGUUCUGUGUGGCCCCAGCUGGCGGUGCUGGGCCUCAUUUGUGCCGUGUCAGGAUGGCGACUCACGUGGUGCCGUAGGUGCAGCCGCAUGGUCUGGAUCCCAUGCCGUAAAAUCUGCCCAGUUCCCCUUCAUUUUAAUUUUUCUAACCUAGAGCUUAAUUUCAAUAAUAACUAGAUUUUUAUUUUGGCACCAGAGUAAAGACAAAUAAUAUCCUCUCCCGUUAUUUUCAUAAGUAACACAGAGUCUCUGAUUUUUUUUUUUAAACUAAAAAUAGCUCUAAACCUUUCUUAUGUAUGAAGUACCCCUAUAAUACAUAGGGAGAGGGGGGUAAUAAACUUCCUGCAAUGACAGUGUUUGGAAUUUCUUUCCGGAUGAAAGUGGAACAAGACCACGUCCAGUUUUUACUGUGAAUGUAAAUGGAACAGCAGCCGAAGCCGUGGUCUCUGAACCCCAUAGGUGCUACCUGUAAAUGGGGACCAACUCUGUGUGCCUGUGUGUGUGUGUGUGUGUGUGUGUGUGUGUGAAGUGUCUGACUGCAGUGAAGACUCCCAAGCCAAUCCUGCAUAUUGCAAAUGCGAAGAGUGUUCAGUGAGGGAAAGGCUGUUACCUCGAGGACGCUUUUCUUCUUUCCUAGCUGAGUCACAAAGCAGAGAGAUGAAGGUGUCUGCUGUAUGUCGCCAAUUUAAGGGAAAACGAGUGGCAGAGGCACUGUCCGCCUUCAGCUGCAUGAGGAAGUACCAGCAGCAUUGAUUCUACGGGCUCCUGUGGGUUUACAAGCCCCCGCGAGUGCCGGGGUUGACAGUGCAGCCUGGCAGGAUGGGAGAGGACGAACAGGGAAAGGAAGGGUUCCCUGAAUGUUGACGCAGCUCUGUGCAGGCACAGGGCUCCAGAGGAAUGUGCGGCCUCCCCCCCCGGGAGCUCGCAGUCCAGCACAGUCCCUACCGGAAGCCCCAAGGUUGUGCUCGCCUUUGUUUGGGGUUGGUAGUUUUUCAUCUUCCCUCCAUCUUCCCGCCAUCCCUGUUUCCCUUUCUGCCUGGUCUGCUUAUUUUCAUUUUUCAGAACCGAGUCUGGCCUUCUGCCUCCCCUGAGAUGAUGUUCCACUCA